CUGCUCUUACUGCAUGACAGCUCCCAGGGUGACCUGCGCAUAUGCCACAGCACUCACACGCAUCGACGCAUCCCUUUCUCCGACCUUGAACCUGCCAGCGGGCUUUUAGGCGGUGCGGCGCGGCGGUACAUCUCUCCCACUUCUUCGUUCUUUCUUUCCCCCUCUGCUGUGCUCUGCACACGGGGACGCGUGCGACGGCCAGCGCACCCUCACCCGCGCCGCACGCAUCUGCACACGCCCACACCAUAAAGUACGUGCACAGAAGCUCCUGCCGGGGGCUCGCCGAUUUGCGCGUUCGGAAGCACAGAGGCACACGAGCAGCGCGGCGACUCGUCUGCUUCGGCUUCAGCGGACUCCUCCUCUCUUUGCCGCUGCGGGCAUCGGAUUUUUGCGCGAGGCGGGCAGAAGGCACCGCCGCCGCCACCCGGAGCCGCUAAGGUGCUCUUCGGUCGCGCUGCAUCCUUGAUGGAUUUGGCAACACACCCACCCACACACCCACACACACACACACGCAUAGAGCCACACCCGCUGAUACUCUCGAUAACCCGAGCCUCUUUCCUUCUCUUCACAUUCUCACCCAUGAGCUGGGCGGGCUUUAGCGCCGGCGGCCUGGGGAAUAGUGGGCGCGUCGCCUCGACGGGGUUUUCUUACCGGGGCAGGGGCACAGGGCGUGCCACUAGCCAAUUUUCGGCCGGCUAUGCACGUGGCGGAGGUGGUUUCACUGGCUACGGCGGCUACGGAGGUGUCAGCGGCAUCGGCAGACCCGGAAUUGGUGGUGGCGGGCUGCUGCAUCAGGUGAGCAGCGGCGUUGACGGAGGCUCUGAAACGCCCCGUGUUGCCAUCAUCGGCACAGGUCCAACUGUGUUUCAGCAGUGGUGGGCCAUUCACGCCGGCGGCCUCCGCGUCAGCGUCGUCGUUGGCACCGACGACGCCAAGGCGACCCACAGCCGCAACGCCUUAAGAGGUACCGCUGUCGCGGCAGCCGCUAACGACGCGGAGAGGAAGGCGUCGGCAGAGAGGGCCUGUGCAGUUGCGUUGCGAUGUGUGCAGUUUUAUCGCCUUCCUCAGGCCAAUAAAAGCGCUGCGGCGGGGGCAGACAAACCCCUGGUCGACGUGCGGGUGUGUGCUCCAGGUAGCGUGGCAGACCCGGUGGCGGGCGGCGGUGCCGGGGAUGAAUCGAAGAAGACCAGCGCGACAAGCGCCGUCGUCACCUCGUCCAUCCUGGCAAGCGCUAGUGCCGCGUCGGUCCCCGCUCAAGAAAAGAAGAACUGCGUCAUGGCGACGGCGUGGAGUUGGUUCUUUAGCCUGCUGCCAAGCGGGCAGAGCUGUGAAACGGACAGGAACGGCGGCAGCGGCAUCAGAGCACCUUUUUCUUCCUCAGCAGCGGUGACCGGCGCUGGCUCUUGGCCUGCGCGUUCGGGUGCCGCGUCCCUCAGUUCGACUCCUAUGGCGACUGACAGCUCCGCGGACUCUCUGGUGGAUGAUGUGGAGGUCAUCUAUUUAGUCGACUAUGGCGCAGACUUUGACGAGGCUGGUGUUCGGGCGGCGCUGCUGUGGCUGCUUGAGCGCGAUAAGCAAAUUGUCGUGGAGUGCGCGCUGUCGGCAGAGACGCUGGCAGCCUGUGCAGCCGCUGCAGCGGCUGUGACGCGCGGCAAGCCGGAGAUGAAGCGACUCUUUCUCUACCGCGGCGGCGGUUGCCGUCGCGGUUGGUCGGACGCGGCUGUGACACAACUGCGUAAGUCACUCGGCGUGCGGCGUGCCACGUGCAAGACGGGCUGCAAGGCGCCGUCGGUCUCGAGUCCCGCGAAGACCGCGUUGGGUGGUCGUAGCGCCUUCACGACGGUUUCAACUAAAACAGCAGCGCCGGCAGUCGAUAGCGAUGGCGGCUUCUCGGUAUUCGACUUCAUGGAUUCGCACCUUGGAGGCGCGCUCAAGGAUGCCGAGGGGCCAAGUGGCGGCGGCAUGGAGAAUGAGAGGUCAUGCACCGCUAAGAGUUCCGUUACCGUGACACCAACUGGUACCGCAAUGGCCACGCUGACUCUGCCAGAGGCAACGCCAAAGGCGGAGACGAAGCACAAGCCUUCGGCACCCGCCCCAACCUCCAUCGCUGUGGAUGCGGCAGCGAGCGUUGUGGGCGCGGUGCGUCACAUCUGUAUGGUGGCGAUUGAUCACGGAAGUCCUUUUUCAAUCGGCCCGGCGGCGGUCGCGUCGCUAGGCAUCAUGGAUAGUCUUGGCUGGGACGCCGUGGCGGUCGUGCUGCACCUGCUCGACUGGACGUGCCCUGAUAUGGUGGUUGGCCGUGUGCUCCGCCGUGCUCCCGACACCCUUGAGCCCCUCUGCGUACAGGCGGAGAUGUACUAUGGCAUUGAAGGGACCGCCAAGGAAGGUGGCGAGGAAAAAGGGUCUGCAGCGGGAAGGGCCGUAUCAGCGCGCCCAUCCUACCUCUGCGUCUCUCUCCAUAUCGCCACCUGCGGGAGCGGCAUUCGCCACCCAACUGACGAAGACAACGGCGAUCGGGGUGUCUUUCAGCAGUCACUGCGCAUCAUCGGCACCAAGGCCGUUCUCACCGUAGACCACCCCCUUCUUCCGGCUGCCUCCCCUUCCACCGCGGCGCCUACACCGUCGGCCGCGAUGACGACAGCAGCGGCCCCCGCCGCCGGCAGCUCGUCUCUGCUCACCGGCACCGCGACUUCCGUAGCAUCACCCUCUGACGCCUCCUCAACCGCCACCGCUGUGGCGGCGUCGGGCAAUGCCGCGAUGCCGACGGCUCCGAAGGUAUCGCACAGCUACCGGCUGGCCACUCAAGACGUGUCCCCCGCGUCAGGGCAGCGUGAGCGCCGAGAAGAAGAGGUGACCGUCGGCAGCGCUGAGCCGUGCGCUGAGUUCCGGACCUGGAAGCAUGUUCGCUCGCAACUGAACGUGACAGCCACAUCUGCGUCGCCGAGGAGCGGGGCAGGACUGGGCACCUAUCAGCUAUACAACUCCCGCUACGCAAAUCGUGGUGUUAGCGUAGGAUUGGGUGCCAGAAGCGGGUACUACGACCGAGGCCGAGGCACGCGCGGACGCCGCACUGACUUUGGCGGCGGCCUCGAUGCCGAUCGUGCCGCGGCAUCGGGGACGUCAGUCGCGGCAGAAAUGGUGGAUGCUGAGUCGGCUGCGUUGGACGUGCAGCAUGCGUGGCUCGUGCAGGUCGUCGUGGAAAGCAUUUUAGCCUCCGCAGCUAAGCCGUCCCUGUAAAGAUGCUGCACGGCAGAGAAGGAAAGCAACGAAGAGCGAGGGACCGACCAGACCCCUCUCACGCUCCAAGGGGUCCGUGGUUCCUGAGAUUCCGAUUCUAGACGUAGAUGACACAGAUCACGUGCGAUGCCUUUCCUGCGCGAGAGUGAAGGACUGCAGACAACUUAUGCGAUGCAUCCGAAGGAGACACCUGGACAGUGUUGUGCCGCGACACCCACGGUGCUUUUCCACAAGCCAUCGCACGCAGCAACACUGCGCACGAGCAACGCACCGGGGCCUCCAUGGAUGUCCCUGAAGGCUCGCCUUUCCUGGUGGGCGGACGACCAUACGCGCUGAGCUGGAUGGCGUGGCAAAUUCGGACGGCUCAUCGCACUCACGCAUACGUGCAACAACUACGUGCUGCCAUGCAUAACCGUCAUGACAGCCCCACCCAGAACGAGAAAACCCUCAUCUGCAGACAGUGCCGUCGUCCCGACGACGCUAAUGCGGCCUGCAGUGACACAUUCCAGAUGCGAAACAUGGAGAGAGCGCUCACGCUUUUCCCCACCAGACGCAGCGCAGCAGUUUCUAUGCGCCAGCUGCCCGACACAAUGCUAUUCCCAAACCGGAUGAGGCCAACGCGUACAACGCCGCCAUCUGCAUGACGCGCUGGUAUGAGGUGACGCCUGACGGAACGCACCGCAUUAUUCCGACUGCCUCAAGCGCCACUAAUGCCCCACCUGCCGUGCAUCGCUCGUCGACGAGGGAUCGCUUUAUGGGCACGACGUCUAAAUCUACCAUGGCCUCUCCCUUCCGCAGACCCUUCCGUGGAAUAUCGAACCCCCGUACUCCGAGGCAACCGCGCAUCGCCUGAUCUGCCCGGGCACCUGUGAAUUACGAUAGGGCGCAUCGUGUCCGCGCUGUGAAGAGGAGUGACAGUACCGGCUGCCAAGGUUGUGUUUCAUGGCUCCGUGGCGUGUUUGGUCUGGUCGCGGGAGCGGCAAGGCAUUUCCCUCGAGAUGCGAGAGAGAUGCCCCUCUUCCGCGAAGCGGUACAGAGUCGGGAGGCUCGAGUAUUGCCUUCUUUCUCUUCCUUACAGUCUAUUCAAUAGAUUUGAUGUAGCUGUCUUGCGCUUCUUUCCUCCUCCAUCCCAUCCCCGCUCCGCUCCGUCCUGAUAUUGGUCGACGGCCCGUCAUUUUGCUUUCGAGCGCCCUCACUCCCUCCCCCUCCUCCCGAGCCUUCGGUGAACCAUGGAACUGGCCCUCGUAGAUACCUAGAGAACGAAGAUCGGGGAGAGGGGAGGGAGGGCCUCAGCUCUCUGUCUUCCAGAAGCCGAUAAAGGAACAUCAUUGCCGAAAAUCGGCCCUCCACUAGUUUUUUUCCAGCGCAGUUCGCUUGCUCGUAGGGCACCUAUUCCGCAGG
rnacentral:misc_RNA from 1 species